GUGCUUGCUUUGGCAGCACAUAUACUAAAAUUGGAAUAAUACAGAAAAGAUUAGCAUGGUCUCUGUGCAAGGGUAACAGCAAAUUUGUGAAGCAUUCCAUAUUUUU